CGGGACGGGUGAGUAACGCGUGGGUAACCUGCCUCAUACAGGGGGAUAACAGUUAGAAAUGGCUGCUAAUACCGCAUAAGACCACAGUACUGCAUGGUACAGUGGUAAAAACUCCGGUGGUAUGAGAUGGACCCGCGUCUGAUUAGGUAGCUGGUGAGGUAACGGCCCACCAAGCCGACGAUCAGUAGCCGACCUGAGAGGGUGACCGGCCGCAUUGGGACUGAGACACGGCCCAG
rnacentral:rRNA from 1 species